rnacentral:rRNA from 1 species
UACGGAGGAUGCGAGCGUUAUCCGGAUUUAUUGGGUUUAAAGGGUGCGUAGGUGGUUAAUUAAGUCAGCGGUGAAAGUUUGUGGCUCAACCAUAAAAUUGCCGUUGAAACUGGUUGACUUGAGUAUAUUUGAGGUAGGCGGAAUGCGUGGUGUAGCGGUGAAAUGCAUAGAUAUCACGCAGAACUCCGAUUGCGAAGGCAGCUUACUAAACUAUAACUGACACUGAAGCACGAAAGCGUG